rnacentral:rRNA from 1 species
UACGAAGGGGGCUAGCGUUGUUCGGAAUCACUGGGCGUAAAGGGCGCGUAGGCGGCUUUGUAAGUCGGGGGUGAGAGCCUGUGGCUCAACCUCGGAACUGCCUUUGAUACUGCAAAUCUCGAGUCCGAUAGAGGUGGGUGGAAUUCCUAGUGUAGAGGUGAAAUUCGUAGAUAUUAGGAAGAACACCGGUGGCGAAGGCGGCCCACUGGAUCGGUACUGACGCUGAGGUGCGAAAGCGUGGGGAGCAAACAGG